rnacentral:tRNA from 1 species
GUCCUCAUAGCUCAGCUGGAUAGAGCACACGCCUUCUAAGCGUGCGGUCAAUGGUUCGAAUCCAUUUGGGGACGCCA